CACAGUUUAAUAUCAGUUUCUUCCGAGCACGAAGCUAGGAUCGUGCUCCCAUCCCCGCUCCCGUAACUCGCCGGAGCAGCAACCAGAGUCAGCACCGAGCUCUUAUCAUGAACCUUAGAAUGCUCCCACUUGAUCUCCGGAACCGGCAGCUUCCCCACCGUCUUAGCCUCGCCCGAGGGCUUCGCAAUAAUCACAUCGCCAUACAUGUACAACGAUGACCCCAUGAGGUUCUGAG
rnacentral:misc_RNA from 1 species